rnacentral:lncRNA from 1 species
GUUAAAUGCCUUUCUCAAGGUCACGACGGUGCAAAAACCACCGGGGAAAGAGGAUCUCAGGUCUCCGACCUUUCUGCACUGGAAAGGCAGCACGGCGCAACGUGCUCCGCUCUGCUCGAAAUCCCAACGCCACAAGGUUUUCGGGUUAAGGAUGGACACCCCGAAUGCUCUCCACCGAGCUCCACCGGACUUGGGUACCCCGUGGCGUUCCCGUCCGCACUCCCGCCGUCCCAGUCCGAGCGCCACUGCUCUGAGAGGGGCCAGUGAGGGUCACUUACCGUCGCUCUCCGCCCUGACGAGCAGGGACAUGCCCUUCAGCCUCUCCACGUAGCCGGAGGACACAUGGCCAGUACCCCGGUCGUCCCACUGCCGGUCCUCGUUGAGCGUGUAGACCUUCACCCGCCGUCGGGUGUCGGUCAUCGUGCCGGCCGGGGGCCCCGCCCGAGUGGCCCAGGGACAGUGUCCAGAAAAGGCGGGCGGCCGCAAACGGGGAACUCCGGGACCUCAGUGCCACCGCUGGCCGCCGCGGAGCUGCGCCGCCGCUCGCAUGGCCCGCUCCCGGGUCCGAGCCCCGGGCCGCCGCCUUCUCUCGUCUCCUUCUCCCCGGCGCUAUUGUCCAGGCCGAGCGAGCGCGGCCGCCCAGCAGCCCCGACAGGGAACGCGCAGCACUACGCAGCCUACCGGCCCGCCGUUCCAACGAGGUGCGGCUCGGUUCACAGACCCGCUCCGGCCUCCACCAUGACCUCCGCAGAGCCGCUUUCCCGCGCCGCCGCCUCCUCAGGCCGCCGCCGCCAUGUUUUCCUCCCUUGUACCUGGCCCAGCCGCUGCAGCAGGAAGCCCCGCUCCGCUCCUCCCGCUUAAAGCAUCCGAAGCCGGUGAGGUAGCACUUCCCGGGAGACUCCGAACGCCUCUGGCCACCCGAGAACCCCUGGCUCUUCUUAGAAGCCGCCUUCCCUACUCCGCCGCCUCUUCCGUCUUCCUCACAGAGCCAAAGCCGCCGCCAUCUUGGCUCGCCCCUCAAAAGCGGCGCGCGGGGCCACCUAGGCAGUAGCGGCAGGGGCGGCCCGCAAGCCCCACCACUUAAAGCGACAAGACGGGAGCCGGCAGCUUCGCUCCGGCCGAGGCCUUGCACCGAGGCGGGCGCGGAGCUGCGGGGGUGGCGGGAGCGGAGGAGGCGGGACGCGAGUCGCGCCGGUGACGGACCGGGACUCCCUCGCGCUGCCCUGCGCGUACUGUCGUGCAAGCGCGGGCUGCGUGUGCGUCCGUCGCACUUUGAAUUCGUCAUCACCUCGGCUCCGGGCGGGGAAGGGGUGUGGAGUCUGUUGGCGGCUUCUGGAGCCAGACUGGACUCUGAUCCCGGAGCUCGUCCUUUCCCGUGCGAGCCUUCUCCGGACGCUUUAGGGAGGACCUUUGCAGUCGGCCCUGGGGGCGCGGGCUGCUGGCGUCCUCCUCGUCCUCCCCCCGCCCUCCUCCUCCUCCUCCUCUUCUUCCCUUGGCCUGAAAUAGAGAAGUUUCUGAGAGAGGACCGUUUGGACCGCGAGGUUGGCGGGAUGCAGUGAGGCACGCAAUGGCCGGCCUCACAAUGUUGCUCUGACUGGCUGAAGCAACGUAUGCGAGAAGCUGGGAUCUUUCUUAACCCACACCAGAGACAAGUGCUCGCAAAGACAUACCUGAAAUCAUUCACCAACAAAACUCGGAAGCAUGUAAAAACAAAGCAGUUGCUGUUUCUAAAUACCAGAAUGCAAUCCUUUCAAGCAUCUAGAUGGAGCCCAUGAGCUCCAAGCAGAGCAGUAAAUGACACAACCUCGGGGUUCGACGUGUGAUAAGGUAUCCUGUAACUACUCUUUGUACCGCUGGGAUCUACCCUGCUUCACUGGAUGACAUGCAGCCUUUUCUCUUAGCAACUGCAUGAAUAAACAUCCAAGAGAACUUGUUUGUUUGGUUUAGUUUUUUGAGACAAGGUUUCUCUGUAUAGCCCUGGCUGCCCGGGAACUCACUCUGUAGACCAGGCUGGCCUCAAACUCAGAAAUCUGCCUGCCUCUGCCUCCUGAGGGCUGGGAUUAAAGGCGUGCGCCACCACACCCGGCGAUAACUUUUUUUUUUUAAAGAUUUAUUUUUAUGUGUAUCAGUUUGUCUGCGUGUAUGUAUGUGCACUAUGUGUAAGCCUGAUGCUCUUGGAGGCCAGAAGAGGAUGUUGGAUCACCUGUUAACUGUGAUUACAGGCAAUUGGGAACUGCAUGCGGAUGAUGAGAAGCAAGGCCUUGUCCUUUACAAGAGAAGCCUGUGGUUUAAACUGCUGAGCUGUCUUUCUAGUUCCAAAUACCUAAGAGGAGUCUAAAGUCCUUCUCAAAGGACCUUGAGAUAUCUUUUUUUGCUUGUUUUUUCAAGACAGGGUUUCUCUGUGUAGCCCUGGCUAUCCUGGAACUCACUCUGUAGACCAGGCUGGCCUCGAACUCAGAAAUCCGCCUGCCUCUGCCUCCUGAGGGCUGGGAUUAAAGGCGUGCGCCACCACUGCCUGGCCCUUGAGAUAUCUUAGUGAAUGAGGAAAGGCACUUAAACUGCUAAACCCAACCAAGUGAAUUUGAUCCUUGAAACUCACAUGAUGGAAGGAGAGAACCAAUCCCCUUACCUUGUUCUCUGACAGCUACACACCCCUCUCCCACAGAAAUAAAAUGUU